UUUUUUUUUUUCUUUUCUUUUUUAACUCGCUGCUCUCUCUGGUCACGAUUCUCUCCCAGGCAUUUAGCAACUCCCUCUUGGCACCCGUCUGGUGCCGAGCCGGAUUGAUAACUCUCUCCACAGCUGUUCCCUUACAGCCGGCCCUCCUCUUUCUGGUAAAUCCAUAUUCCAUUUGCUUUUCUGCAGCAGCCUGCUAUCUCUAGGGUCUCCUUAAAAUAGAUAAACACUGCUCUCCAAGGGAAGUCUCGAGGCAAAACCCACAGCACAUACCAGCCCUAUAAUCUGCUCCAGAAGGCGGGCAGAUAAAAAGAAAGGCAACAGGAACCACCCACCCGUGCCGGCUUUUAUCAUUUACUAAGCACUUUUGACCCACAUGGUCUUAUUUAAUAUUCACAAUAAGCCAUAAUGCAGGUAUAAGGGCUAUUUCCACCUUAUAAAAAGGCCCCUAAAGAAGGAAAGAAUUCGGUGCAGGAAGUAGGACCAGGACUGGGGCCUGUUCUUUUGAAAACAGCUAUGUAAAUUGUAUUUGGUCAGACACACAAGGCCAAGAAUUCAGCUGCAGGGCAGAGAGAGUGCUUUUCUAGCGAACACAAGACCCUGCAUCCAAUCCCCAGCACCUUGAGGGGGGAAAAGAAUAGACAGAAGGCUCUUUGGUGCUCAUUUUGGUGGAUUCUGGCAGAGGGCAUCUCCCAUCUAAUGCGUGGGACGAGACUGUUUGGAGUUUAAGAAUCUCCCCAGUUUGAGACCGUUUCCUUGUACAUAAUGAGCUCAUCCUGCAAAGAGCACCCAAGUCCAAAUACCACAUCUGUUUGUUUCCUAUGCAUAGCCUGAAAUAAGUUUACACGGUAUGUUCAGCAUGCCUGAGUAUUGACUGUGCCCUGUCCCCGUGUCAUCAGGCUUGGAACUUUCCGCUUGUGGCCUCUCUCAUACAAGCUCAAAAGGUUUCAGCAUUUCCAAUUUUGUGCUUUUUUCUUGUGUCCCAUGCUAUGUCUCUGCACCCAACAAAAUAGGUACCACAGGUUCCCCCAAGGAAGACCUCUUCCCAUUUAAACAAAAGCCCCCAUUCCUUUAGGGGCUUGCAGAAAGUUCCUACUUGCUAGAAGGGGAAUCACUCUCCUUAUCUCUGGCAAUAGGAAUCUGUGGCCCUUCAUUAACACAUGACUAUGGUUCUUAUUGAUGAAUGCUACUAGUCUCUGAGGAUCCCCAGCCCAGCUCACAAACCCCUUCCUCCCGGUCCCAUCUAACCCUGCCAGUCUUCUUUCCCCUGUUGCUUCUCCUUGCUUUCCCAGGAGGUGGCCUCUGCAGUUUGGAAUAAACUUCUCCCAAUUUUCAC
rnacentral:lncRNA from 1 species